GACCGGGUGAGUAAUAUAUCGGAACGUACCCAGAAGUGGGGGAUAACGCAGCGAAAGUUGCGCUAAUACCGCAUACGAUCUACGGAUGAAAGUGGGGGACCUGCAAGGGCCUCAUGCUUUUGGAGCGGCCGAUAUCUGAUUAGCUAGUUGGUGAGGUAAAGGCUCACCAAGGCAUCGAUCAGUAGCUGGUCUGAGAGGAACGACCAGCCACACUGGAACUGAGACACGGUCCAGACUCCUACGGGAGGCAGCAGUGGGGAAUUUUGGACAAUGGGGGCAACCCUGAUCCAGCAAUGCCGCGUGAGUGAAGAAGGCCUUCGGGUUGUAAAGCUCUUUUGUCAGGGAAGAAACGGUGUUUUCUAAUACAGAGCACUAAUGACGGUACCUGAAGAAUAAGCACCGGCUAACUAGUGCCAGAGCCGGGUAAUACGUAGGGUGCAAGCGUUAAUCGGAAUUACUGGGCGUAAAGCGUGCGCAGGCGGUUAUGUAAGUCAGUGUGAAAUCCCACGGGCUUAAACUGGGGAAUGGACGUUGAGACUGAUGGUAGAGUGUGUACAAGAAGGGGGUAAAAAUUCCCAGGUGUAAAAGUGAAAUGCGGUAGAGAUGUGGCAGGAAUAC
rnacentral:rRNA from 1 species